CCCAGUCUGCGCCCCCAGACCAAGCACCGGCCCCAGCAAGAGACACAUGCCCACCCGCUCGGAGGCACCUCUCCUCGGUGGUACCACGGGCAGCCGAGGCCGAGUGGCCACACCAAGCCACCCUGAGGUCCUGAUCCGGGCGGAGCAGCGGGCAUGCACACAGCAGCAGCUCCUCGCAUGGCCACGCUGCCCCAGACCCGUCACUGCACGCUUCAGGGUUUCUCAGGCCACUGGCAGAGCACGAGGUGGCCACAAGUGCGUGGGCAGCGGUUAUGGGGUACGGUGCCCCCGGGCCCCCCACAGCCAGGGUCCUGAAACGCGUGUCCCAGAACAGCGCCCCCGGGCCCCCCGUGGUCCCUCUGGAGCCGGCACUUUCGAGCCGCUCGCUCCAGCAGACAAACGCCCUGGUUUCAGCCAUCACUGCUCUACUGCAACGAGUGAGCCACUGGAAAGUGAAACUGAAGAAUCAAGUCUUCAGAGACCUGACAACUGGCCACACAUUCUGGUCACGAAAUGAGGGUUCGUGAAAGAGUUUCCUCUGCGUUCAGAUGCAGGUGGACUCCCCAGUCACGGUCACUUUCCUACCCGCCCCCCACUGCAGGGCGGGCCCAGCCCCGCACACUCGGUGGCAGAGCCGACGUGUCCCUCCCCACUUCUCCACCCAUGAAGUCACGGCACAGAGGUCAGGCCUUCUGCUGGAUGGUGGAAACCUGCCGGGAGGCAGAAGGACCGCGGCCCAGAGAUCUGUCUGCGGCCGGGACACAGCCCAGCCGUGAUCACAACUGCAGCUCAAGUGUGAAAGGCGCAGCUCGGGACGCUCCUGGCUCAGGCCACACGCAGCUAGAAACCACCGACUUCACGGCCCAAAAGGUGUCACAAAACUACAGGGGGCAGUCCGAGCUGCUCAGGGGACCUGAACCGAUACGCACGACUCUCGUCACUGGGCGGUCCUGCUCCGGUUUGAUGGUGACCUACAUCUAACCAGGUGAACAAAAAAUACAUUUUCAAAAAAUCAAAGGUCAAGACUUUGAGUCUGAAUCAGGGGCCCUCGAUCUUACAGGGUCUCUCAUCUUGUGUGCAAAACAGCCGGUGUGAACGUGCCUGCCUGCGUCGGCCGACUUACGCCGGACAGGGACUGUACCCAGGCUCAGCGGCUGGAGCCAAGGGGCCCCGAGACUGAGCCAAGAGUAGGGAGGACACCCGACCUGUCCGGCCACGCACAGCCCUGAACAGACACCGUCCCGCGAGCCAAGAGCUGACCUGCCCCCGCUGCACAUGCCCCUAGCCGAGGCGUCGGGCCUUCUCCAGACAAACGCUCAACCUCUCUCCCUCAUGGAAACACAGCCCAGUGUCCGUGCUCACACCAGAGCUGACCCUGCCCACAGGCCACAGCCACGGCCACAGCCACGGAUGGCCGAGGGAGGGGCCCCUGACUGCCCGGAGCACCCGGAGCCCAGCACUGGGGCUCUGGCCGCGGGAAGGCGCGCAGACACGCACCUCCGCCGACCUGCCCCGGCCAAGGCCCUCAUCCCCUGCCACUGGGCUGGGGGGGCCACGGUCCACCAAACACAGGACACAAGCCCCAAAAGCGGUCACCUGAGGGUCACACCGGCCUGGGCCCAGCCUCCCCAGGCGGCACGGGCCGAGGCCUCCCUGGAGAACCAGGGACGCAGAUGGAGGCGUCCCAGCACCCCACUGAAAUCUCCUGAUGCAAAGGCCGCACCCACAUGCGAAGCCACAGGUCAGCUUCUGGGUUCCAGCGUCACCAGAUGCCCGGGGACAGCGCCUGCAUCUGAGACGGCCGUGAAGACAAAUGGGACGACUUGGUCUGCAGGAAACGGGGGAUGUGGGACAAAGGAAACAGCCCACAGCACCGGACAGCCGGCAGACAAGGUUCUCCACCAGCAAGCG
ensembl:lncRNA